AUUGAACGCUGGCGGCAGGCUUAACACAUGCAAGUCGAGCGGAGAUGAGGUGCUUGCACCUUAUCUUAGCGGCGGACGGGUGAGUAAUGCUUAGGAAUCUGCCUAUUAGUGGGGGACAACAUUCCGAAAGGAAUGCUAAUACCGCAUACGUCCUACGGGAGAAAGCAGGGGAUCUUCGGACCUUGCGCUAAUAGAUGAGCCUAAGUCGGAUUAGCUAGUUGGUGGGGUAAAGGCCUACCAAGGCGACGAUCUGUAGCGGGUCUGAGAGGAUGAUCCGCCACACUGGGACUGAGACACGGCCCAGACUCCUACGGGAGGCAGCAGUGGGGAAUAUUGGACAAUGGGGGAAACCCUGAUCCAGCCAUGCCGCGUGUGUGAAGAAGGCCUUAUGGUUGUAAAGCACUUUAAGCGAGGAGGAGGCUACUGAGACUAAUACUCUUGGAUAGUGGACGUUACUCGCAGAAUAAGCACCGGCUAACUACGUGCCAGCCGCCGCAGUAACAC
rnacentral:rRNA from 1 species